CCUACGGGUGGCUGCAGUGGGGAAUAUUGGACAAUGGGGGCAACCCUGAUCCAGCCAUGCCGCGUGUGUGAAGAAGGCCCUCGGGUUGUAAAGCACUUUCAGUGAGGAAGAACGCCUGGUGGUUAAUACCCAUCAGGAAAGACAUCACUCACAGAAGAAGCACCGGCUAACUCCGUGCCAGCAGCCGCGGUAAUACGGAGGGUGCGAGCGUUAAUCGGAAUUACUGGGCGUAAAGCGCGCGUAGGUGGCUUGAUAAGCCGGUUGUGAAAGCCCCGGGCUCAACCUGGGAACGGCAUCCGGAACUGUCAAGCUAGAGUGCAGCAGAGGAAGGUAGAAUUCCCGGUGUAGCGGUGAAAUGCGUAGAGAUCGGGAGGAAUACCAGUGGCGAAGGCGGCCUUCUGGACUGACACUGACACUGAGGUGCGAAAGCGUGGGUAGCAAACAGGAUUAGAUACCCCGGUAGUC
rnacentral:rRNA from 1 species